rnacentral:rRNA from 1 species
CCUACACUCCUACGGGAGGCAGCAGUGGGGAAUUUUGGACAAUGGGCGAAAGCCUGAUCCAGCAAUGCCGCGUGAGUGAAGAAGGCCUUCGGGUUGUAAAGCUCUUUUGUCAGGGAAGAAACGGUGAAAGCUAAUAUCUUUUGCUAAUGACGGUACCUGAAGAAUAAGCACCGGCUAACUACGUGCCAGCAGCCGCGGUAAUACGUAGGGUGCAAGCGUUAAUCGGAAUUACUGGGCGUAAAGCGUGCGCAGGCGGUUUUGUAAGUCUGAUGUGAAAUCCCCGGGCUCAACCUGGGAAUUGCAUUGGAGACGGCAAGGCUAGAAUCUGGCAGAGGGGGGUAGAAUUCCACGUGUAGCAGUGAAAUGCGUAGAUAUGUGGAGGAACACCGAUGGCGAAGGCAGCCCCCUGGGUCAAGAUUGACGCUCAUGCACGAAAGCGUGGGGAGCAAACAGGAUUAGAAACCCCUGUAGUCCCAU